GGGCAUGGAUUAGAAAUUUCAUUGUAGCACUAGGAUGCCAAAGAAAAUGCUCUCCGCGCUUCCUGUCUGUCUCUGUGGCAGUCCAGAUUGAAUUGGAGAGUACAUGU